UACGUAGGUGGCAAGCGUUGUCCGGAUUUACUGGGCGUAAAGAGCGCGCAGGCGGUCGUGCAAGUCGCGUGUGAGAGCCCCCGGCUCAACUGGGGAGGGUCACGCGAUACUGCUCGACUUGAAGGCAGGAGAGGGAAGUGGAAUUCCCGGUGUAGUGGUGAAAUGCGUAGAUAUCGGAAGGAACACCAGUGGCGAAAGCGGCUUCCUGGUCCAGCACCGACGUUCAGGCACGAAAGCGUGGGGAGCAAACAGG
rnacentral:rRNA from 1 species